rnacentral:rRNA from 1 species
UACAGGGGGGGCAAGCGUUGUUCGGAAUUACUGGGCGUAAAGGGCUCGUAGGUUGCCAACUAAGUCAGACGUGAAAUCCCUCGGCUUAACCGGGGAACUGCGUCUGAUACUGGAUGGCUUGAGUUCGGGAGAGGGAUGCGGAAUUCCAGGUGUAGCGGUGAAAUGCGUAGAUAUCUGGAGGAACACCGGUGGCGAAGGCGGCAUCCUGGACCGACACUGACACUGAGGAGCGAAAGCCAGGGGAGCAAACGGG